UGGGCUUGAACUGCAGUGGAUCAUUCCGUGAAAGCGGAACUUCCUUCGGGACUGCUGUAGAGGUGCUGCAUGGCUGUCGUCAGCUCGUGUCGUGAGAUGUUAGGUUAAGUCCUGCAACGAGCGCAACCCUUGUCCUUAGUUGCCAUCAGAUUAUGCUGGGCACUCUAAGGAGACUGCCCCGGAUGACGGGGAGGAAGGUGGGGAUGACGUCAAGUCCUCACGGCCCUUACGUCCAGGGCUACACACGUGCUACAAUGGUCGGUACAAUGGGAAGCAAUACCGCGAGGUGGAGCCAAUCCUCAAAACCGGCCUCAGUUCGGAUUGGAGUCUGCAACUCGACUCCAUGAAGU
rnacentral:rRNA from 1 species